GCGCCCGUAGCUCAGUUGGAUAGAGUGUUGGUUUCCGAAGCCAAAGGUCACAGGUUCGAUUCCUGUCGGGCGCGCCA
rnacentral:tRNA from 2 species